rnacentral:rRNA from 1 species
AUUGAACGCUGGCGGCAGGCCUAACACAUGCAAGUCGAACGAGUGGCGGACGGGUGAGUAAUGUCUGGGAAACUGCCCGAUGGAGGGGGAUAACUACUGGAAACGGUAGCUAAUACCGCAUACCAUCGGAUGUGCCCAGAUGGGAUUAGCUAGUAGGUGGGGUAACGGCUCACCUAGGCGACGAUCCCUAGCUGGUCUGAGAGGAUGACCAGACACACUGGCAUGGAGAAACAGUCCAGCCUCCUACGGGCGGCAGCAGUGGGGAAUAUGGCACAAUGGGCGCAAGCCUGAUGCAUCCAUGCCGCGGGUAGGAAGAAGGUGUGCGGGUUGUAAAGUACUUUCAGCGAGGAGGCGUUACUCGCAGAAGAAGCAUCGGCUAACUCCGGGCCAGCAGCCGCGGUAAUAC